CGAACGCUCCUCCGUCUUCCGGUCCUCGAGUUCGCUUCCGCCGAUGAGUCGUCUCUCGAUAGGCGGCGGCGGCGGCGCGCGCUCAUCGUCCCUCGCCGGACGCGUCGUCAACCUCUGGAUGCUGGACAGCCUCCGAGUUAGCUCGGCGCGGACUCCGUCUGAAGCUUAGCUUGAAUUCGCGGCUUGAGGCGGUGUUCGCGCUCCGAUCCUGUUUCUCUCGCUUCUAGGAUGGAUCGCUUCGAAGCGAGGAUCAAAGAUCUAAGGCCCGUCGCGUUUGUGGUUCUAUUCAUCUCGCUCUUGCCAUCUAACUUUGAUGGGGCUCCAUUAGAUGUCUUGCACAAUCUGCUCAAAAAUACGGUGUGCAGUAAGGCAUCUUGACUCACUUACCCGUUGCAAAUCGAUGUUUCAGUAGGUCCUGCUGGCAACAUGCUAUUUGUGUUAUGCACAUUCCGGUACAAGAUAAGAAAUUUAACAUCAACCUUUCAUAACUAGAGAUGACAUUAACUGUAAGGACAACCUGCUCAAAUCAGAAGAUUCAAUUAUUUCAAUUAGACGGGUAGAAUUUGCUUGCAGCUGGUGGGACACAACGAUCUUCUCUCUAUACUUUCAAGUUCCACAACAGAAACUUGCUCUAUGUGGUCAUCUCUGGCUCGUUUUGCUUUGUGUCCUGGGUUUGGUUGCUCUCCGCUCUUGAAGCAGACUGCAUGAGGUUGGAUCAACGAACUGUAUAUUGUUGCCAGGGCUGGCCGCUCUCGGCCUGGAGCAUGAUGUACCAGGUGAGGUGAAGUAAAGGCUCCUGUUGGAGGGCUAUGUAGUCUUUUAUUAAUCAUCUUCCUGUAUUUGUGCACCAUGCCAGGACGCGAAUGACAGAUUUACGGCUCGAGAUCUACGAAAUAUAGCGAUAUGUCUCCCGCAGUAAUUGCUGGAGAUUUUUGCUAGCGGGGCUUGGAGAUUUGUUUCUGGGAGUGUUCUUUGGAGGAGGACGCAGUUAGUCAAAAAGAGCUGCUCCUCUCUACUUCCCUCGGCAGUCCGAGGCGGUCUUUUUCUCGUACAUCGGAGCACUUCCAGGACAUGUGCUUUGCUAGGUAUGUGCGUUCUGUGGCUCCACUUAGUCUCGUGUACAUGAUUCAUAAGUUGAAAAGUAAGAGAAUUUGAUUGCACCAAAUAUAACUUGAAAGAUCAAAUCGCA